GCCCAGGUGUUGAAAUUGGUAGACAAGCAUGGUUGAGGGCCAUGUGUCCGUUCGGAUGUGCGGGUUCGAAUCCCGCCCCGGGCA
rnacentral:tRNA from 1 species